UACGGGGGGGCAAGCGUUGUUCGGAAUUACUGGGCGUAAAGGGCUCGUAGGCGGCCAACUAAGUCAGACGUGAAAUCCCUCGGCUUAACCGGGGAACUGCGUCUGAUACUGGAUGGCUUGAGUUUGGGAGAGGGAUGCGGAAUUCCAGGUGUAGCGGUGAAAUGCGUAGAUAUCUGGAGGAACACCGGUGGCGAAGGCGGCAUCCUGGACCAACACUGACGCUGAGGAGCGAAAGCGUGGGGAGCAAACAGG
rnacentral:rRNA from 1 species